CCUACGGGCGGCUGCAGUGGGGAAUAUUGGACAAUGGGGGCAACCCUGAUCCAGCCAUGCCGCGUGUGUGAAGAAGGCCCUCGGGUUGUAAAGCACUUUCAGUGAGGAAGAACGCCUGGUGGUUAAUAACCAUCAGGAAAGACAUCACUCACAGAAGAAGCACCGGCUAACUCCGUGCCAGCAGCCGCGGUAAUACGGAGGGUGCGAGCGUUAAUCGGAAUUACUGGGCGUAAAGCGCGCGUAGGUGGCUUGAUAAGCCGGUUGUGAAAGCCCCGGGCUCAACCUGGGAACGGCAUCCGGAACUGUCAAGCUAGAGUGCAGGAGAGGAAGGUAGAAUUCCCGGUGUAGCGGUGAAAUGCGUAGAGAUCGGGAGGAAUACCAGUGGCGAAGGCGGCCUUCUGGACUGACACUGACACUGAGGUGCGAAAGCGUGGGUAGCAAACAGGAUUAGAUACCCUGGUAGUC
rnacentral:rRNA from 1 species